GCCGCUGCCGUGCGCCCGCCUCAGGAUGGCUCGAACCAUGGAACCACUGGCGAAGAAGAUCUUUAAAGGAGUUUUAAUAGCUGAACUUAUGGGUGUUUUUGGAGCUUAUUUUUUGUUUAGUAAGAUGAACACAAGCCAAGAUUUCAGGCAAACAAUGAACAAGACAUGUCCCUUCAUCUUGGAAGUCUAUUAUAAAUCCAUUGAACAGUCUGGAAUGUAUGGAAUCAGAGAACAAGAUCAAGAAAAAUGGUUGGAUAGCAAAAAAUAGGCUUGAGCCACUGGUUAUUUAACCCACAGAAGUAUCACAGGACCAGGCAAGAUUAAAAUUCCAAAAUUUACGUGAAUAGAAUUUGGAAGAUUUAAGGCAAAGUGUAAAUUUUAAUUCAGAUCUUAUUCUUUGAAAUUGAAAAAGUUGAAGAUGGGAAUUUGGGACAUGCGAGGCAAGCAGUAGAGAGGAGUGAAGAGAAGCACUUUACCUGGCAAAAUCAAGAUCAUCCUUUCCAGAAGUAAAGCAGUUAUCAUCCUCAAAUGUGUCUGCAAGAACAAUAUACAGACUGAGAGACACAGCCAAGAAUAACAAGAGUGACACGCACUACAUCUGAUUCAAUACAUCUAACAACACAAAAUCUUGAUUCUGCUGCUGUUCAUAACGAGCACUAAGACAGUACAAAUAUGACUAGUGCUGGUCUGUCUUACAAAUGUAUAAAGGCCUGGAACCAGAACAGGUGCCAGCUGAUUUCAACUGAACUCUGCAUUUCUUUUGUGGAAAAUGAAUACUCAUGACAUUUAGUGACUGUGUUCUUUUUACUUUAUGAGAAAGAACUACUUUUUUUCUCUUUGGCUUCUUGAGUCUUAAUCUAGUCCAGGCUGUCUUAGAACUCUGCAGCCUAGGUUGGCCUUGAACUCAUGGUGGUCCUCUUACCUCCACCUGCAGAGUGCUG